rnacentral:rRNA from 1 species
CCUACGGGAGGCUGCAGUGAGGAAUAUUGGUCAAUGGGCGGGAGCCUGAACCAGCCAAGUCGCGUGAGGGAAGAAGGUACAGCGUAUUGUAAACCUCUUUUGUCAGGGAACAAAGGCGGGGACUAGUCCCCGGAUGAGGGUACCUGAAGAAAAAGCAUCGGCUAACUCCGUGCCAGCAGCCGCGGUAAUACGGAGGAUGCGAGCGUUAUCCGGAUUUAUUGGGUUUAAAGGGUGCGUAGGGGGCCUGUUAAGUCAGCGGUAAAAGCCCGGGGCUCAACCCCGGAGAGCCGUUGAAACUGGCAGGCUGGAGUUGGAGAGAAGUACGCGGAAUGCGCGGUGUAGCGGUGAAAUGCUUAGAUAUCGCGCAGAACCCCGAUUGCGAAGGCAGCGUACCGGCUCCACACUGACGCUGAGGCACGAAAGCGUGGGUAUCGAACAGGAUUAGAUACCCUUGUAGUC